CAAGACCUGCCCCCAAAAGGGACCUUUUGUGCACUGUAAAAUUUUUUCACUUAAGCUUUGUCUGAUUGAUAUUUGUACCGAAAGGGACAAGAAUUUUAAUCUAAAACAACUUUUAACAAUGGAUCUCUUGGCUCUCGCAUCGAUGAAGAACGCAGCGAAAUGCGAUAAGUAAUGUGAAUUGCAGAAUUCAGUGAAUCAUCGAAUCUUUGAACGCAUAUUGCGCUCUCCGGCAUUCCGGAGAGCAUGCCUGUUUGAGUAUUGGCCUAAAUGAGAGUCUUCCUUUAAAGAUAUAAAAAAGAGCGUCAAGAACCCUCAGUUGAGACUUCUCGACAAUUCAUUGCCGAGUGUUUUAAAAUGCAAUAGUACCGCCACGUUUGCGAACUUGGAGUAAUAUGUGAGCCUGAAAAGGUGACCUCUAUUCUCCUCGGAGCACGUAGACCUGUUAAGCGGGAAGUUUUUGAAUGCCGAAUUAUGGGAGACGGUGUUCAAUUGUUCGAGUAACGACGAACGAAAUAAACUCAAUCUCAAAUCAGGUAGGAUUACCCGCUGAACUUAAGCAUAUCAAUAAGCGGAGGAA
rnacentral:rRNA from 1 species